UUCACUCACAACUGUAAGUCGCUCUGGAUAAGAGCGUCUGCUUAAUGUAAUGUU
rfam:Salmo salar isolate Sally breed double haploid chromosome ssa10, whole genome shotgun sequence.